AGAGUUUGAUCCUGGCUCAGAUUGAACGCUGGCGGCAUGCCUUACACAUGCAAGUCGAACGCGAAAGCGGGGCAACCCGCAAGUAGAGUGGCGAACGGGUGAGUACAACAUCGGAACGUGCCCAGUAGUGGGGGACAACCUCAAGAAAUCGAGGCUAAUACCGCAUACGACCUACGGGUGAAAGCGGGGGACCGCAAGGCCUCGCGCUAUUGGAGCGGCCGAUGUCCGAUUAGCUAGUUGGUGGGGUAAAAGCCCACCAAGGCGACGAUCGGUAGCUGGUCUGAGAGGACGACCAGCCACACGGGGACUGAGACACGGCCCAGACUCCUACGGGAGGCAGCAGUGGGGAAUUUUGGACAAUGGGGGCAACCCUGAUCCAGCCAUGCCGCGUGCGGGAAGAAGGCCUUCGGGUUGUAAACCGCUUUCGGCCGGAACGAAAUCGCACCCGUGAACACCGGGUGUGGAUGACGGUACCGGAAGAAGAAGCACCGGCUAACUACGUGCCAGCAGCCGCGGUAAUUC
rnacentral:rRNA from 1 species